AUGAAGAGGGGUUUGAGGGAGGGGGAAACAGGGAUUUGGGACCAGGCAGUGCCCAGGGAGAGCUUUGAGGCCGCGGCAUGGGUCCCUUUACCCCCCCGCUCCUCACCGGCCGGGCCGGGCUGCUCGGCCCGCAGCAGCAGCAGCGCCGUGCCCGCCCCGCUCGCAUCCUCGCUGCCCUCAGGGCCAAGGCCGAAGAAGCGCAGCACGACCCGCGCAUCCUCGCCGCGGCUCAGCAGCUUCUCCAAAGGCGCCGGCUCGCUCAGACCCAGCAGGGAGAGCGCUCGGUCCCGCAGCCACCGCACUCGCACGUCGUCCAGGCUCAUGGCGGCGACCGGCCCGACGCCUCCCGGUGGCCACGGCAACGGUGCGGGGCGGAGCGACGGCUGCUGCCCGCCUUCAGCCCGCUUCGAGAGGCUCCGUGCCCGCCUCAGGAGGCGCCUCGAGCGGCCGCGUUCCCGUACGGAGCCCGCCCCGCGGGGUGCUCCUUCCCCUCAACACCGCCCGCCCCUCACGAGCUGCUUCGCCUCGGGACCGGCCGCUCCUUCCCCUCAGCGCCCGCCACCCCUCACGAGCGCCGGAGCCCCUGGGCACCCGCCGCCUCUCACGGGAGUUCGUUACCCUCAGCACGGGCGUUUUCCUCAGCGCCGCGUCUCCUGGGCACCGGCCGCCUCUCCACAGCCGCUCCUUCCCCUCAGCGCCCGCCGCCCGUCACAAGCGCUGGUUCCCCGCAGCACCCGCCGCCUCUCCCGGGAGCUCGCUCCCCUCAGCACGGGCGGCCCCUCACGAGCGCCGGGUCCCCUGGGCACCGGCGGCCUCUCGGGGGGGGGGGGGGGGGGGGGGGGGGGGGGGGGGGGGGGGGGGGGGGGGGGGGGCCGGCGGCCUCUCACGGCCGCUUCUUUCCCUCGGCACCGGCGGCCUCUCACCGGCGUUGAUGGCCCCUGGCACCGGCCGCUCUUUCCCCUCGCUCAGCACCCGCCCUCCCUCACGAGCGCCGGUUCCCCCGGCCCCGGCCGUUCCUCACGGCCGCCCCUUCCCCUCAGCGCCGCCUCGGGCCCGGAGAAGGCACGGACAAACACAGGUCCCGCUCGGCACAGCGCAAACGUGGCUUUAUUGGGAAUUCGUAGGAAAGAAGUGCAAAAUUUAAUUUGUGCUGUUCGUAUGGCACAGAUGUUAAAAUAUCAUGGCAAUAUCCCCAUUUUCACACUGAUACAAAAAUAA
ensembl:lncRNA